UAUUCUGAAGCUGAACAGACCUCAGACAAUGACCUUCCCAGGCUAGUCCCAGAAAAAGAGGCAAAACUUCCUGGAAAGCUAUACUUUUCCCUCAAGGGAUUAAAGAAAGGCAAGAAUUUGGGCCUAUGCUAGAUUCAUCAGAACCAUAGACACGGAUCAUCUGCAACAGAGCCUUCGAAAUUCUUACCACAAAUGGAUUACAAAUUGCCAAGAUGCUGACCCCUCAGCUCUAUAGAGCCGAUGCUGGCAAAGUCUCGAGCCCCAUAACCCUGAAUAUGAGCAAUACUAUCUAGUUAUGCCAGUUUGUUACCAGUGCUGCCAUUUUACUACUAUGCCCAGCAAGACACAAAAGUUGAGGAAGCAUGGAGAUGUAUUAGGAAUCUGUAUCACAGACACUGAAUCAAUCAGGAUGCUGUGGACUGAAGUGGCAGAGACACCAACUCAAACUGGCUUGACUGGUAUGGAAAUACAUGAAAAGACCACGCAGAAUUGGUUUAAUGUUUAAUACAGUCCUCACUGAACUCUCAA